rnacentral:rRNA from 1 species
GAUCAUGGCUCAGGAUGAACGCUAGCGACAGGCUUAACACAUGCAAGUCGAGGGGCAGCACAGGUAGCAAUACCGGGUGGCGACCGGCGCACGGGUGAGUAACGCGUAUGCAACUUGCCUAUCAGAGGGGGAUAACCCGGCGAAAGUCGGACUAAUACCGCAUGAAGCAGGGACCCCGCAUGGGAAUAUUUGCUAAAGAUUCAUCGCUUAUAGAUAGGCAUGCGUUCCA